ACCAUGCACCGAAGCUGCGGCAGCGACGCUGAUGCGUUGUUGGGUAGGGGAGCGUUCUGUAAGCCUGCGAAGGUGUGCUGUGAGGCAUGCUGGAGGUAUCAGAAGUGCGAAUGCUGACAUAAGUAACGAUAAAGCGGGUGAAAAGCCCGCUCGCCGGAAGACCAAGGGUUCCUGUCCAACGUUAAUCGGGGCAGGGUGAGUCGACCCCUAAGGCGAGGCCGAAAGGCGUAGUCGAUGGGAAACAGGUUAAUAUUCCUGUACUUGGUGUUACUGCGAAGGGGGGACGGAGAAGGCUAUGUUGGCCGGGCGACGGUUGUCCCGGUUUAAGCGUGUAGGCUGGUUUUCCAGGCAAAUCCGGAAAAUCAAGGCUGAGGCGUGAUGACGAGGCACUACGGUGCUGAAGCAACAAAUGCCCUGCUUCCAGGAAAAGCCUCUAAGCAUCAGGUAACAUCAAAUCGUACCCCAAACCGACACAGGUGGUCAGGUAGAGAAUACCAAGGCGCUUGAGAGAACUCGGGUGAAGGAACUAGGCAAAAUGGUGCCGUAACU
rnacentral:rRNA from 1 species